AUGAACGCUGGCGGCGUGCCUAAUACAUGCAAGUCGAGCGGAAUGAUGAAGAAGCUUGCUUCUUCUGAUUUUAGCGGCGGACGGGUGAGUAACACGUGGGCAACCUACCUUGUAGAUUGGGAUAACUCCGGGAAACCGGGGCUAAUACCGAAUAAUCCAUUUUGCUUCAUGGCGAGAUGUUGAAAGACGGUUUCGGCUGUCACUAUAAGAUGGGCCCGCGGCGCAUUAGCUAGUUGGUAGGGUAAUGGCCUACCAAGGCGACGAUGCGUAGCCGACCUGAGAGGGUGAUCGGCCACACUGGGACUGAGACACGGCCCAGACUCCUACGGGAGGCAGCAGUAGGGAAUCUUCCACAAUGGACGAAAGUCUGAUGGAGCAACGCCGCGUGAGUGAAGAAGGUUUUCGGAUCGUAAAACUCUGUUGUAAGGGAAGAACACGUACGAGAGUAACUGCUCGUACCUUGACGGUACCUUAUUAGAAAGCCACGGCUAACUACGUG
rnacentral:rRNA from 1 species